GCAGCCCACGACGUCAUUUGGUAGCACACCGUCAAGAGGGACCCCUGCCCUUUCCAUGUCCCUUCCCCGGGAGCGAUUCCCUGAUCUCAUCAAGUCGGGCAGGAAAUCCUCGAGAAGCGACGACGCCGACUCAAUCCUCCCGAGCUUGUGCCUCCGUUGGCCACCCGCGCCUCUAGCCAAGAGCUUCUCCCCCCGCCGACGACGUCACCCGCUCUCUCCUGCCAAGAUCCUCUGCCCGGUGAUGGCGAUGGCCCAGAGGUCAGUUUCUACUUCCGGCGAGAUCGACUACCCCUCGCGGCUCAUAUCUCCUCAGACGAACAGCAAUGGGCUAGCGGUCACCUUCCCCGUCCUCCGAGCCAGCUAAUCAGACUUGGACCUCUCCCACCAUUGUCAAAUUAAUGGUGAGCACAAUCUCUUCCUUUCGCUUCUCCCCCCUAGAUCUGCACAGUGUUUUGAUUGGUCAAUUGGCUCUUGUGAUUGAUUGUGAGGUCUGAUGCUAUAUUUUGGAUAUUUCAAGGACCAUUUUUCUUGUUUGGACUCUUGUUACUACAGAGCAAAGCAUUGCCUAAUGUGUGGCAGUUUGUCUAUUGAAGUUAGAUUAUUGGCUGCAUACAUUAGAAUUUAGGUGCAAUUCUGAAGAAUGUGGCAAAUGCAGUGGAUUUUCUGCAUUAAAUUACUGGUGAGUCUUGUGAACUUUGGUUUAGGCAAGUUAAUUGCUUUUGUGUAGACAGGCAAAUACUGAACGUUUUUCUUUGUUAGAUCCUUAUGGCAGUACAUACUACAAUUGUUUAUUUUUAUGCUUUUUUCGUAGUUAUAAAUUUUCUAUUUUUAGUUUUGGUAUCCUCUGCAAUUAAAUUCACCAUGGCAUACUUUUUAGACAGCAUGUGCAGUUACAUGCCAUUACGCAUCAUACACUUUGCAUAGCUCAACACUCUUCUUGUAUCUAUGGAUAUCCUGAUCUAUUGAUGUCAAGUUUGUUUCACACAUGACAAAGGACACAACACCAAAUAAAUCAAGAAAUAUUCAUCAAUACCACUGACUCAUGUCUUAGACUUUAUUUGUUCAAGGAGGAAAUUUCUGCGAUGGAGAGAACAUAAGGUGUGUAGACAGUUCGUCUUAUAUUUUCUUGUUCUGCACUACAUCCAUCUUAUCUUUAUUUAUUUUGCGCCAUUAUUGACCUGAGUUUUAUCUGAACCUGAGUUAUAUCCAUCUGACUGUUUGUAGAUCCACGAACCUUUGUUUCCAAACUCUGCCUAUUCUUUCAUUUGCAAUAACAUGAGUUAUUCUGAAUUGAUCAUUUGAUGUUACCCUAGCAGUGCCUCCAUAGAAAAUUAAAUCUAGUUGAUGUUAUCCUUUGAUCAACUUCUGCAAACAUAAGGAGCUAGUUGGUCUCGCUCCAAUAAUACAUGGAUUACCAUUUGGUCUAUGUGUUUAGAUGAGGGUCACUAUAUACAUCUGCAGAUUAGCAUUUAUCAUUCAGAUUUUCAAUUUACAUUUGCAAGGUAUGUGAUUUGAUUUAUCUGGAGGUAAGUUGUGCUUUCUGUCGGUUGCAAUUACUAUAUGCUCCAAGCUGUGGCAACAAUACUUCAGAAUUAUUUUUCUAAUCAUUCCGCCAGAGUAGUAUUUUAUUAUUAUAUGAUUGCAGGAGUUGUAUAUGGAUGUACUGGGGGCACCAAGAAGAAAGGGUAGUAUAUGGAUGUACUAGGGCCCCCCAAAAGAAGAAAAACUGGGGGCACGAUAAAUUUAUCCUAGACACUAUGAGGUUUUCUGGGACUCGACUCGUGUAACUGUUGAGGGGGGCUACACUUCUGAGACGAGGCUACAACACAAUUUUUGUUGGAGUCGGCUACAUUCUUACACCUCUAGCUCACGAAGGUCGUAGUCCCAAUUUGGAUCGCCACUCAGCACGAGUGGAGUGACACUUGAUUUCUUGUUCUGUAUUAGAGUACCUAAGAAAUGUUGCCUCUUUAUGUUAUGUGACAUCUUUAGUUCUGACUAUAUUCUCAUGAGUGUCCGAAGAUGAUAGUGUAAAUGAAUGAUUAUUUAUACAUUUGCAAAUUCCUUGA